rnacentral:rRNA from 1 species
CCCUUAGAUGUUCUGGGCCGCACGCGCGCUACACUGAUGCAUUCAACGAGUCCAACCUUGACCGAGAGGUCCGGGUAAUCUUUGAAACUGCAUCGUGAUGGGGCUAGAUUAUUGCAAUUAUUAAUCUUCAACGAGGAAUGCCUAGUAAGCGUGAUUCAUCAAAUCGCGUUGAUUACGUCCCUGCCCUUUGUACACACCGCCCGUCGCUCCUACCGAUUGAGUGUGUUGGUGAGGAGUUUGGAUUGGCCUCGGAAGGUGGUUCGCCACCGUCCGUAGCUGAGAAGUUCUCCAAACCGCCCCACUUAGAGGAAGGAGAAGGCGUAACA